rnacentral:lncRNA from 1 species
ACUUGGUAGACUGGUUUUAAGCAUGGAAGGAUUUAAAUAGAUCAAACCGGCUUCUCUGUUGAGUGAGAAUUGCAGGAAGCCUUAUUCAGAGGUAAGAGAUGCCGGUGGUUUGGGCAAGGGUGAUGUUGGAGAAAGGUGGGUGGAUUUUAGAGUAAAAUUAUCUCGUGAAUUAAAAUUAUCUAGAAAUGAUGAUGGAUUUGGUUAAGGAAUGAGGGGAAGGUAAGGAGUAAUUUCAAAGGUAAUAAUAAUAGCUAAUAUGGUGCCAGGCAUCAUUCUAAGUCUUUACAUAUAUUAGCUUUACAUAUAUUAGCUCAUUUAAUCCAUGAAGGACAAUGUAUGAUUUUCCUCACUUUAUAAAGGAGUAACUUGAGGCACAAAAAGUUUAAAUACCUUGUCCAAGGUUCCAUAGCACACAGUCUGAGUUGAGAUGUGAACACAGAGCCUGAGGUUCAAGUCCUUUUUCUAAACCAGUGAUUCUCAAAGGAGACAUUGUUGGUUGUCACAGCUGGGGCUGGAGUGCUACUGAUAUCUAGGGAUAGAGGACAGAGAUGCUGCUAAAUAUCCUACAAUGCACAAGAUAGUCCCCACGACAAGAAAUUACCCAGCCCAAAAUGUCAGUAGUGCCCAGGUUGAGAAACCCUGUUGCAAAUUGCUACAUUAUAUUAAUACUACCUACUGAGGGUAGCCGGUAGGCUUCUUAGACAACUGGUUUACCAAUACUGGGCGAAGACCAGUUUGAGGGAGACUGAGUUGCUUUCUGGACACAUCCAGUUGAGGUCCUUUAAGGCACCUAGGAAGAUAGGGCAAGUAAACUGCUGGAUGCUCGCUUGGCUUUGUAAUUCAGAGAGGUCUGGCACUGCUUGGAGUAGGUUUCUAUUCCUGGCAACUGCAUACACCAAAAUAUCUCCUGUAUUUUUAUAGUGUAUUUGUUUGUUUGUUUAUACCCCCACCCUCUUCCAGAAAGGAUGCAAAGCUGCUUAGGAGGAUAAGGAACACGCAAGAGUCUGAUGUAAGUUAAAAGUAGGACAAAGGAACACAUUCACAUAAGGGUGGAGACAUAGGAUGGAGCCAGCAAUGAGGCUAAAAGGAACCCUAAUCCCAUUCCUGGCAGCUGCAGGGCUCUUCUUACAAUCUUACUGGACUCCUUUAUCCCAGUCUCUGCUGAGAUCUCUGCCUCCUCUCCAGGAGAUGAACCCCAAUCCUCACCUCUUGGCUGCCCUGCAGCUGAGAUGAAAACUGAAUGUGCUUACUGUCUUUUAGGUUCCUGGCACCUAGUGGGAGAACAAUACAUAGUUGUAGAGAGAAACUCCAGGGAUGGGGUUGUGAACAAGACCCAAAGCCUCCCCCAUAGAGCUUCCUUUUGAAUGGGGGAGACAAACCAAAAAGGGGAGCAACCGUUGAUAUGAGCAUUCGUGCUUUGUUUUGCUUAUCAGAUAAUUUAAUAGCUAGUUCCAAGGCGUCUUUCAUGCUAUAAAGAAACAAAAAAGGACCCAAGAAAAAAUGAUGAGGAGAAGUAUGGUGGUUGGGGAAGCCUCUGUGAGAAGGUGAUAUGCAAGCUGAGACCUAGAAGAGGAGAAGGGACAGAGUUUCAUAGAGUCGGGUGAAGGCAUUCCAACCAGGAAACAGCGUGGACAGAUAGCCCUGGAUGGGAAACAACUAUGGUCUUUGAGAAACCGGGAAGAGGCCAGCAGGCCUGAAGCAGGAUGAGUGAAGAGAGAGGGUGGGAAAACAGCCAGGACCUUGCAGGCAUAGGAAAGAGUUUGGGUUUUAUUUCAAGUGCAGUAAGGAGCUAUGGAAGGACUACGUGGCAGAGAUCAACAAUUGUCCACAAGUAUCCAUUCUCCCCUUUGUCCUGAUUCAUAAAAUCCACAAGGUUGAACUGGGCAUGUGGCUGCCUGGAAUAAGAACAACUUUUCCCAGCCUCUUUUGCAGAUGUGGUCAUGUGACUUAAGCUCUGGCUGCUAGAAUCCAAGCUGGGGUGGUGUAUGCAACUUCUGAGUAGUAUCUUUGAAAGGGGGAUGUGUGUCCCCACUCCUCCUUGCUGCUAUGUGGGGUAUAGAUUAAAUGGCUGGAACCCCAGCACCAUCUCAGACUCUGAAGUGACCUUGGAAAUAAAAGCCAGGAUUGGAGAUGCCACAAUGUAGACAGAGCCUGGAUUCCUGACUCCGUUGAACUGCCAUAGUCUCAGGUAGCCAGCUGCCAGAUGCUUCUGGGAGGGAGGGAAAAGCAUCUAUCUUGCUGAAGCCACUGUUAGUGUGCAUUUUCUGUCACAGCUAAACCUAAUUCUAACUGAUAAAGGCUUUCAGGAGGAACCACAUGAUUCCGUUUAUCACAUCAGAAGCUCCCUUAGGCCCUUGUGAGGAGCAGAAGAUUGAAAGGGAGUGAGUACAGAGCAGGGAGAUAGGGGCAGAGGCUGCUGCAAUCAUCCAGGCAAAUGAAUGAACAAAUGAAUGAAUGAAUUGUAACCGGACCCAGGUUCAGUUGCUCUCUGCUUGAAAGCCAAAACUCAAGAAAUGAGACUUGGUGGGAGGAAAAACAGGUUUUUCGGGAAGCCAGCAAACGGAGAAAAUGGUAGACUACCAUCCUAAAAUGCCAUCUUAAGUCAGCACAAAUUUCAGGCUUUUUUUUAUGUUAAGGGCAGGGGAAGAAGAGGGAGUUGGGAUCAAGAUGUGACUGAUGACUGCAGACCUCUGGGUGCCAGUGAGGGCCUGAGGAGUUUGGGAACUUCUUUGUCCUUGGUCAGGUCACAAUGCUCCUGUAAAUCUUUAACAAAACACAGUUGUUUACAUACUUUCCCUUUAACCCCAGAGUUAUUUUUUAAAACUACAUAAUUGCUGUUUUUGUGUAUUAUCUAUAUGGAUCUUUAACAAAACAUGAUUGUUUACAUACUUUCCCUAUAACCCCAGAGUUGGCUUUUAAAACUACAUGAUUGCUGUUUUUGUGUAUUAUCUCAGUGCUCUAAAAUUAUCCUAGCCUACACGCGGGCAUGGGUUAAAGCCCCUUACACAAAUACGGUGAGUGUUACAUUCUUUUGCUGUUUCGCUGUUGCUGAAUGAAUGACUGAAUGAAAGCAUCUCCCAAGGCUGCCUGCUUGCUUACCUUCUCACAUGAUGCUUCUUUGCCUCUCUGUUCCUUAAGGAGCUUUCCCUCCCUUCUUUCUUGCCCCACAGUCCCCAAACUCACCAGUGUGGGCAGAAGGAGAAAAGGAAUGUUCUAUCCAGCCCCAUACCCCAGCACCUGCUGGGCAACUUUGUCUUCCCUUCUGCAAAAGAAAAGAAGUCCCCUCAAACACAGGAGAGGAUGGGAAAAGGCAUCUCUCUAAGCAGUAACCCUGGCAGGGCCCUUCAGGAUUCCCAAAUUCCCAAUUUAUAGACAGGGAAACUGAUCCCUAGAGAAGGGAAGGGACUUGCCCAUGUCCACACAGCAUGUUAGUGGGACACAUCAUGAAACAUAAAAGCAGGAAGAGGGUCUAGAAACCAUCUAGCCCUACCCCCUCAUUUAGAGAAAGGAAAACCGAGGCCCAGAGAGGGAGAGUUAGUGACAGAGCCACAACAAGAACUCAGAAGAGGGUCAGCUGGUGUGCAACCAGCUCAGUGACACAAAAGCCUGUGCUAGGGAUUUAAUGUUCUACUGUCGUGUCUUGAAAUUCUUCAUAUCUUAUCUGUAAAUGUGUAGUUUGUAAAUGAAGUCUGUGAGAUAACACAGCAGGCACCCAGGCCAACAGCCUCAGUUCAAGUGCAGUCCGGCCCCUCCCUCACCAGGUGGGUUCUCAGUGCCAGCUUCCCCAACCCCCUGCUAUCUCCUCCUCACAUCCCUUCUUCUCUCUCUUCCCCCCAACAGCUGCCAGUCUGCUAUCUGCAGGGCACUGGCACGGGAGGCUGAGCAUGCACAUCCCACAGCAUUUGGGUAGGACACGACUGCAGCCAUGCCUGCCCUAGAGGUUGAUGACAUCGUGGUGCCUUCAAGGGGGGAAACUGGCAGGGCAAGCCUUUCCCCUAUGCUAGAGCCUCUGACAUGGAGGUUGCAAGAUGUGGGGGUACCUGUCCACCAUGGAUUGGGGUGAAGGGCCUGUGGGAAAGGAGGAUGCCUGGCUUCCCUUCUCCGGGUCCUCUUGCCUCAGUGUAGGGGACCUGGCAGCAGAUGGGCACUGGUGGGCCACACUGCAGGGGAAGGCUCCUGGGUGCCUUGAGGGCCUCCGUGCUCCUCUCCAGUAGCUCCAUGCCCAAGGUAGCAUAGCAUUAAAUAGCAAAUACACAGCACAAGAGGGGCCACAGAAGUGGGGUGGGGCUUUAUGUUUGGGUACCUCUCUCCUGCCUGUGGAACAAAAGGCUUGUGUUUGCAAUGUGCCCUGGGCUGUCACAUUAGGUAGCUGUCCUGACUCAGGACUUCUGUUGCUCUGGCCACCAGCCCCCAGCACUCAGCACCGCUGGACAACACCGGUGUAUUCACGUUCAGUCUAGUGCGUUCCCGGCCCUGUGCUGGGCCUCUUUUCCCUGUUUUCUUGUUUGCAGCCUUGUCGUAACUGAGUGAGGUGUGCACUAUUAUUAGACUCAUUUUACAGGUGAGGAAAGACAGCUGCCCAUAGGCUGAGUUAACUUGUCCACGUCCUCCACCAGGGAAGCAAGAGAGCCAAGCUCCCCACCCAGGUGGCCUGGUGCUCCUGUCCUGGCCCGACAUGCGGGCAGUCGGGCCGUCGGGAAAGGAAAGCGCAGUGUAGAGGAGCUGCUUCUCACCGCCUCUCCUCCCCUCCCCACCUUCCCCGGGAACUCAUGCCCCUCCCCUGCACUCCUGCUCCUUGCCGGCUCGCCCUGGGCCGCUCCGAAGGGAGGAGACCACGUGACCCAGGUCACCGGUAACCAGGCAACCGUUCCAAGACACUGCUUUUCAUCCACUCUGGCUUCUACCUUAUUCAAUAUCUGCCAGGCGGGCAAGGCUCCUGGGAGCAUCCCUGAAGCCAUUUCUCUGGGCCAGGAGCCAGCUGUUCCCAAAAUGGCCACGAUGCCUCAGGAGGGAGGUUGACACCCUGUGCUCUCAGAAGCAGCUCAGAGCUCAGAGGCAGACCUCUACUCAUGCAAUUCUGCCUUCUGUGCAUGCAAUGGAUUGCUGCCAUCUCCAAUCAGCCACAAUGGGAGGCCACCUGCUAGACAUGGAAGAGCCACCGGAUGGAAGAAGCCUGGGUCUCUGAAAUACUGCUUGGAGUAGACUACUCUGCCUGCAAACUAGGAGCACUGAUUUUGGACUUUUUGGGAGGGACUUCUAUGCCCUCUGCAGUUUGCCUCUUCCUCUGCUAUUUUUUCAUGUAUGUGUAUGUUUUUUGCCUGUAUUUGCAAUGCCAGCCAUCAUUUGCCAUGUCUUCUAGCGGCAACCUGCAUUUAGCCCAGAUCUGCUGUGAUUAUUCCUUUUCACAAACCACAAUGACUCUGGAAAACCUGGCUGUAAACACCAGCACUGCCACCAGCUAAGGAUCUGUGAUCAGGAGUGCCAUCUCACGGUAACAGGAAUAUGAAGUCUGAGGUUUCUGCUCUGACAAGAGGAAAUGUCUAACAGCAGAAGACAAAAGUGAAACCGGGCUGAUGCGAAUCACUGGGAAACUGGCUUUGGCACCUCCAGAGAAUGAACUGUUUCAUAGCCUAGCUGACCAUCCAUGAAAAUGGCUGCCUGGAGAGGCAGUGAUCAGCCCAUCCCUGCAGGGUGAAGAUAAGCUUGUGCAGGCCACUGGCUAACACAGUUCAUCCCAUGCCUCCUACAUACCAAGCACUGUGCCAGGCACUUUUCACGUCUGGCAUCCUCAGAAUCCUCCAAAAGGUCGGAUUCAGACAAUCCGGUGGAGCACUCUGAAAUUUAGAGGAAGUGGUCAAAUAGAAUUUUCUGGAAUUAUGGAAAUCUUCUAUUCUGUGCAUCUAGUAUAGUAGAAUCUAGUCACAUGUGGCUUUUGAGAACUGGAAAUAUGGCUAAUGCAACAGAGAAAGUGAAUUUUUACUUUUGAUUCAUUUAAAUAUAAAUGGUCACAUAUGACAUCACUGCCAUAUUGGACAUUGCAGUUCUGGAAGAUGGCAGAUGCAGCCCUCAGAAGAAUUAUCAGCCUGAAUGUCUGGGCGGAGCAGAGCACUACCUUCCCACUCACUCUUCCCCUCCUCUCGCCCCCUCCCCUGCCUCACUUGCAUCAGAUUAUGAUGUGAGCAAAAGCAGGAAACAGCUCUUUUGAUAGGCCUGUGAGACUUGCUGUUCGUUGGAGUAGCUAGGCUGCUCUGACUCAUACAGACCCAAAUCCUGGCAACCACUUUUAUGAAGAAAUGACAAUUCAGUCUACUACUUGUCCAUUUUACAUGCCCAAGGAAUGUGAGGGGCCUCUGCUUGGAUCUAGUUUUCAACCUAGUCUAUGGCAUUGAUUAUCCUUUUAAAAGACAAAAGAGGUGACUUCACGGGCACUUAACAUCUUGGCCAUACUGACCCCAGUUGCACGCUACGUAGGAAGUUUUAGUCCAUUUAAACUGAAGUUCCAAUUUUUUUUUUAACAACUAUUUAAAAAUUGUACAUGUCCCAUACAUGACAGAGAAAGGGUUGUCUGGUUGGAUGAUUUUUGGCUUGCAAAAAGAGAACACAAAAGAAAAGCAUACGUUUUAAUACUCAAGAGACCAAAUUUUCUGCUGAAGAGGAAAUGAACUACAUAUCCAGAAGGGUCCUACCAAGAGGCCAAACAGACUGUGUUCUCUUGGGGGAGUUCUCAGUGGUGAUGAGAACACCACUUUUUUUUUUUUUUUAGUCAUUUUCAAGGUGAGAUAUUGACUUGCUGCUGGAGCAGGACAACUGGUCUCUCUUUCAUUGCUAGCAGCAGAGUAAGGGUCUUGCAAGUUUCAGGCAGCAGCAGAGAAAGGGUCUUGCAAGUUUCAGUCCAAAGCAAGAAGAGCUAGGAUUGCACCAGCUGUCUCACCUACUCUGUGCUCACCUGUUUCUGGAUGAAGCACGGUGACAUCUGUUUUAUUGUAAAGAGAACCAACUUUGGAAUCAAAUGGAACCUGUAUUAAAAUCCUGAAUCCGUCACUAGCUUGGACAAGUCA